AACGAACGCUGGCGGCAUGCCUAACACAUGCAAGUCGAACGAGAUCUUCGGGUCUAGUGGCGCACGGGUGCGUAACGCGUGGGAAUCUGCCCUUUGGUUCGGAAUAACAGUUGGAAACGACUGCUAAUACCGGAUGAUGACGAAAGUCCAAAGAUUUAUCGCCAGAGGAUGAGCCCGCGUAGGAUGAGCUAGUUGGUGUGGUAAAGGCGCACCAAGGCGACGAUCCUUAGCUGGUCUGAGAGGAUGAUCAGCCACACUGGGACUGAGACACGGCCCAGGCUCCUACGGGAGGCAGCAGUGGGGAAUAUUGGACAAUGGGCGAAAGCCUGAUCCAGCAAUGCCGCGUGAGUGAUGAAGGCCUUAGGGUUGUAAAGCUCUUUUAUCCGGGAUGAUAAUGACAGUACCGGGAGAAUAAGCUCCGGCUAACUCCGCGCCAGCCGCCGCCGUAA
rnacentral:rRNA from 1 species